AACACAUGCAAGUCGCACGAGAACGCUUCUGCUUGCAGAAGCUAGUAAAGUGGCGCACGGGUGAGUAACGCGUGGGUAAUCUACCUUCAAAUCGGGGAUAACAUUGCGAAAGUGAUGCUAAUACCGGAUGACAUCUAAUGGACUUCGGUUCAUAAGAUCAAGGGGGGCCUCUAUAUAUAAGCUUCCGUUUGAAGAUGAGCCCGCGUCCCAUUAGCUUGUUGGUAGGGUAACGGCCUACCAAGGCAACGAUGGGUAGCUGGUCUGAGAGGAUGAUCAGCCACACUGGAACUGACACACGGUCCAGACUCCUACGGGAGGCAGCAGUGAGGAAUUUUGCGCAAUGGGGGAAACCCUGACGCAGCAACGCCGCGUGAGUGAUGAAGGGCUUUCGGGUCGUAAAGCUCUGUCAAGUGGGAAGAAAAUACAGAAUGCCAAUACCAUUUUGUACUGACGGUACCACUGAAGGAAGCACCGGCUAACUCCGUGCCAGCAGCCGCGGUAAUACGGGGGGUGCAAGCGUUAUUCGGAAUUAUUGGGCGUAAAGAGCGCGUAGGCGGUCUCUUAAGUCAGAUGUGAAAGCCCUGGGCUUAACCCUGGAAGUGCAUUUGAAACUAARGGACUUGAGUAUGGGAGAGGGAAGUGGAAUUCCUGGUGUAGAGGUGAAAUUCGUAGAUAUCAGAGGAACACCGGUGGCGAAAGCGACUUCCUGGACCAAUACU
rnacentral:rRNA from 1 species